rnacentral:rRNA from 1 species
GAUCCUGGCUCAGGAUGAACGCUAGCUACAGGCUUAACACAUGCAAGUCGAGGGCAGCAUUUCAGUUUGCUUGCAAACUGGAGAUGGCGACCGGCGCACGGGUGAGUAAACACGUAUCCAACCUGCCGAUAACUCGGGGAUAGCCUUUCGAAAGAAAGAUUAAUACCCGAUGGCAUAAUUAGACCGCAUGGUCUUAUUAUUAAAGAAUUUCGGUUAUCGAUGGGGAUGCGUUCCAUUAGG